rnacentral:rRNA from 1 species
UUCUUAAAGAUAAUAAUUUUAAGUAACUUCCUGCUCAAUGAAAAUUUAAAUAGCCGCAGAUAAUACUGUGCUAAGGUAGCAUAAUCAUUAGCCUUUUAAUUAAAGGAUAGAAUGAACGGAUCAACAUUUUAAUAACUUUUUUAAUAUGAUUUAAUAAAAUUUAAAUUAAAGUAAAAAAGCUUUAAUUAAAAAAAAAGACGACAAGACCCUAUCGAACUUAAACUUAUGUUAACUGGGGAGGUUAAAUUAUUAAAUCUAAUUAUAAUAAAUAACAAAAAUUUGACCUUAAAAUUUAAAAUAUUUGAACAAGUUACCGUAGGGAUAACAGCAUAAUUACUAUUAAGAGAUCUUAUCUAAAUAGUAGAUUGUGACCUCGAUGUUGAAUAAUUACCUUUAUUAAGAAAAUCUAAUUUAAGGAAGACUGUUCGUCUUUUAAAAUAUUACA